GACUAAGAAGCACCGGCUAAAUACGUGCCAGCAGCCGCGGUAAUACGUAUGGUGCAAGCGUUAUCCGGAUUUACUGGGUGUAAAGGGAGCGUAGACGGACUUGCAAGUCUGAAGUGAAAGCCCGGGGCUCAACCCCGGGACUGCUUUGGAAACUGUAGGUCUAGAGUGCUGGAGAGGUAAGUGGAAUUCCUAGUGUAGCGGUGAAAUGCGUAGAUAUUAGGAGGAACACCAGUGGCGAAGGCGGCUUACUGGACAGUA
rnacentral:rRNA from 1 species